AUGAGCUGCACCGGCCUGGAUAACCCAGCUCCCCACACUUCCUCUCUCCUGGGCCAGUCCUGCCUUCUCCCUUCUCCCCACCCAUCACAUGGGCAGAGCCUCUGCAGGCCAAAGUUCCGAAACCCCAGUUUUCCUCAAACACUACCCUUCUGUGAAGGUUUCCAUAGUCCAACUAUUCAGGAAAAAAAUCAUUGCUUCAAUUCGCCUCAUGUGGUAACUUUAUGAAAACUCCCCUUUAGGUACCUGCUUCUUCUACCUUUUGUUAUAAGUGUGGUUGUAUAUUUUCCCUUCUAG
rnacentral:lncRNA from 1 species